GAACGGUAACGCGGGGCAACCCGGCGACGAGUGGCGAACGGGUGAGUAAUACAUCGGAACGUGCCCAGUAAUGGGGGAUAGCCCGGCGAAAGCCGGAUUAAUACCGCAUACGACCUAAGGGUGAAAGAAGGGGAUCGCAAGACCUCUCGUUAUUGGAGCGGCCGAUGGCAGAUUAGGUAGUUGGUGGGGUAAAGGCCUACCAAGCCGACGAUCUGUAGCUGGUCUGAGAGGACGACCAGCCACACUGGGACUGAGACACGGCCCAGACUCCUACGGGAGGCAGCAGUGGGGAAUUUUGGACAAUAUGGACGCAAGUCUGAUCCAGCAAUGCCGCGUGCGGGAAGAAGGCCUUCGGGUUGUAAACCGCUUUUGUCAGGGAAGAAAUCUUCUGGGUUAAUACCUCGGGAGGAUGACGGUACCUGAAGAAUAAGCACCGGCUAACUACGUGCCAGCAGCCGCGGUAAUACGUAGGGUGCAAGCGUUAAUCGGAAUUACUGGGCGUAAAGCGUGCGCAGGCGGUUAUGCAAGACAGAUGUGAAAUCCCCGGGCUCAACCUGGGAACUGCAUUUGUGACUGCAUAGCUUGAGUGCGGCAGAGGGGGAUGGAAUUCCGCGUGUAGCAGUGAAAUGCGUAGAUAUGCGGAGGAACACCGAUGGCGAAGGCAAUCCCCUGGGCCUGCACUGACGCUCAUGCACGAAAGCGUGGGGAGCAAACA
rnacentral:rRNA from 1 species